ensembl:lncRNA
GAGAGCUGUGCAGAGAAGUCAACUUCAUCAUGAUGAAGCCUCACCUGCUUUUCACACUGAUGUGUAAGUGUCUCCUUUGAGUUUUUAGUUUGAACUUUUAUUUAAAGGUUAAUCAAACUAAAAAUUUCAAACAACGAUGCUUUGGUGUUUUCUUGUUUCAACAGAUUUCUGUCUGGAGUUGGAAGCACACGAUCUUUCUCCACCCAAACUGACAGUGGAUGUAUCUGUGAUCAAAAAAACAGAUUCAGUGACAUUAAAGUGUCAGAGUUCAUCUACAGAGUCUACUUCUGAGUGUUCUUUCUUCGCUCAAAGUGAAACGCUCUUUGUGGGCCGCUGUCUGCAGAACAUAACAGGAGCUGAAAUUCUGAUACGAACUAAAAGAAGAUCUCCUGCUACCGUUGAAGUUAGAUGUUCUUACACUGUAAAGGAAGGAAAUUUCCAUUUUACAUCUGUAGAGAGUGAUCCAUCCACCAUUGAGAUAAACAAUCUUCUUAGACCUGAUCUGACCGUGAAUCCACGUCUGAUCUCAGAAAAGGAUUCAGUCACAUUAAACUGUCAGACUUCAGUGUCUUUGACUGAAUGUUCGUGGCAUUUUAAGGGAAAAAGUCGAGCCCGACGUUUCUCUUGUUCUAAGACACUGACUGGAGCUGAGCUGAUAGAAAUUACGAGUCUAAGAGUUCCUGCUAAAGUCCGAGUUUCGUGCUCUUACCUUGAUGGUACAAAAUCUCCAGAAAGUGAACAGAAGACCAUCACUAUCCAGCUUCCUCAGCCUGAACUAAGAGUGAAUCCAGCUGUGAUCACAGAGAGAGACUCGGCCACACUGAACUGUGUGUCUCCAUCAUCUCUUUCUGUCUCUGAAUGUCAUUUCUACUUUUUGAAAACAAAAACCACAAAAAGCAGCUCCUGCAUGCAGACGCUGACAGCAGCUGAACUUCUGUCCAUGUCUAGUCAAAGAUCACCUGCUGAUGUUGAACUAACGUGUUUUUACUCUGUGGAAGAGCAAGAAGGAAACUCUCAGUCUCCACGCAGCAAUGUCAGCUACAUCCACAUCAGUGUGGUAAGAAAAAGGACGUUAGUGACUUCAGCAGACAGUUGGUCUGGAGAUUUAACUACUGGAACACCAAAGAUCUCUGGUACUCCAUCAUCUACGUCUUUCACAUCAGUGAAUCCUGAUUCAGAAAAUCCACAGAUCCAUCUUUCUAACGGAGAAGAAUGGAAAAAGCUCUUAGCUUUUCCAGUUUUUGUGGUCGCUGUUUGUGCAAUCGUCCUGGGAUGGACUCUCUUUUGGUCCAAUAGAGAAAGUGGUAAGAACAGCGACGACUCCUGUGAGAUUUAAAGAAGAUAACUUGCUGCUCUUUCAUCUGCUGGUUAAUGUCAUGGAAAACCAAAAAACCUCACUCGCCUCACUUAUCUGUUAGUUUUGUACUUUCAUCUCAAGUCACAUGGCUGAAAAUAUAAAAAGUACAACCAAGUUUCUGAGAGUUUUUUAUUUAUUUUCUAACUUAAAGUCAGUUUAAUUGUCAAGACAGAGGCAUUACAUUUGUCAAUUUCCU